AGAGUUUGAUCAUGGCUCAGAUUGAACGCUGGCGGCAGGCCUAACACAUGCAAGUCGAACGGUAACAGGAAGAAGCUUGCUUCUUUGCUGACGAGUGGCGGACGGGUGAGUAAUGUCUGGGAAACUGCCUGAUGGAGGGGGAUAACUACUGGAAACGGUAGCUAAUACCGCAUAACUUCGCAAGACCAAAGAGGGGGACCUUCGGGCCUCUUGCCAUCGGAUGUGCCCAGAUGGGAUUAGCUAGUAGGUGGGGUAACGGCUCACCUAGGCGACGAUCCCUAGCUGGUCUGAGAGGAUGACCAGCCACACUGGAACUGAGACACGGUCCAGACUCCUACGGGAGGCAGCAGUGGGGAAUAUUGCACAAUGGGCGCAAGCCUGAUGCAGCCAUGCCGCGUGUAUGAAGAAGGCCUUCGGGUUGUAAAGUACUUUCAGCGGGGAGGAAGGGAGUAAAGUUAAUACCUUUGCUCAUUGACGUUACCCGCAGAAGAAGCACCGGCUAACUCCGUGCCAGCAGCCGCGGUAAUACGGAGGGUGCAAGCGUUAAUCGGAAUUACUGGGCGUAAAGCGCACGCAGGCGGUUUGUUAAGUCAGAUGUGAAAUCCCCGGGCUCAACCUGGGAACUGCAUCUGAUACUGGCAAGCUUGAGUCUCGUAGAGGGGGGUAGAAUUCCAGGUGUAGCGGUGAAAUGCGUAGAGAUCUGGAGGAAUACCGGUGGCGAAGGCGGCCCCCUGGACGAAGACUGACGCUCAGGUGCGAAAGCGUGGGGAGCAAACAGGAUUAGACACCCUGGUAGUCCACGCCGUAAACGAUGUCGACUUGGAGGUUGUGCCCUUGAGGCGUGGCUUCCGGAGCUAACGCGUUAAGUCGACCGCCUGGGGAGUACGGCCGCAAGGUUAAAACUCAAAUGAAUUGACGGGGGCCCGCACAAGCGGUGGAGCAUGUGGUUUAAUUCGAUGCAACGCGAAGAACCUUACCUGGUCUUGACAUCCACGGAAGUUUUCAGAGAUGAGAAUGUGCCUUCGGGAACCGUGAGACAGGUGCUGCAUGGCUGUCGUCAGCUCGUGUUGUGAAAUGUUGGGUUAAGUCCCGCAACGAGCGCAACCCUUAUCCUUUGUUGCCAGCGGUCCGGCCGGGAACUCAAAGGAGACUGCCAGUGAUAAACUGGAGGAAGGUGGGGAUGACGUCAAGUCAUCAUGGCCCUUACGACCAGGGCUACACACGUGCUACAAUGGCGCAUACAAAGAGAAGCGACCUCGCGAGAGCAAGCGGACCUCAUAAAGUGCGUCGUAGUCCGGAUUGGAGUCUGCAACUCGACUCCAUGAAGUCGGAAUCGCUAGUAAUCGUGGAUCAGAAUGCCACGGUGAAUACGUUCCCGGGCCUUGUACACACCGCCCGUCACACCAUGGGAGUGGGUUGCAAAAGAAGUAGGUAGCUUAACCUUCGGGAGGGCGCUUACCACUUUGUGAUUCAUGACUGGGGUGAAGUCGUAACAAGGUAACCGUAGGGGAACCUGCGGUUG
rnacentral:rRNA from 1 species